rnacentral:rRNA from 1 species
UACGGGGGGAGCAAGCGUUGUUCGGAUUUACUGGGCGUAAAGCGCGCGUAGGCGGACCUGCAAGUCGGGGGUGAAAGCCCGAGGCUCAACCCUCGGAACUGCCUUCGAUACUGCGGGUCUCGAGUCCGGGAGAGGUGAGUGGAAUUCCUAGUGUAGAGGUGAAAUUCGUAGAUAUUAGGAAGAACACCAGUGGCGAAGGCGGCUCACUGGCCCGGUACUGACGCUGAGGCGGCGAAAGCGUGGGGAGCAAACAGG